rnacentral:rRNA from 1 species
GACAGAGGGUGCAAACGUUGUUCGGAAUUACUGGGCGUAAAGCGUGUGUAGGCGGCUAUGUAAGUCGGCUGUGAAAGCCCCGGGCUCAACCCGGGAAGUGCACUCGAUACUGCGUAGCUUGAGUACUGGAGAGGUUGGUGGAAUUCUCGGUGUAGAGGUGAAAUUCGUAGAUAUCGAGAGGAACACCGGUGGCGAAGGCGGCCAACUGGACAGAUACUGACGCUGAGACACGAAAGCGUGGGGAGCAAACAGG